GGUUCGAUUAGCUCAGAUUGAACGCUGGCGGGAUGCUUAUACAUGCAAGUCGAACGGCAGCACGGACUUCGGUCUGGUGGCGGAGUGGCGAACGGUGAUAAUGUAUCGGAACGUGCCUAGUAGCGUGGGGAUAACUACGAAAGCGUAGCUAAUCGCAUACGCCCUUCAGGGGAAAGCGGGGGACCUUUCGGCCUCGCAAUUAUUAGAGCGGCUGAUAUCGGAUUAGCUAGUUGCGGGGUAACGGCUCACCAAGGCGACGAUCCGUAGCUGGUUUGAGAGAGGGACGACCAGCCACACUGGGGCUGAGACACGGCCCAGACUCCUACGGAGGCAGCAGUGGGGAAUUUUGGACAAUGGGGGAAAACUCCUGAUCCAGCCAUCUCGCGUGUGCGAUGAAGGCCUUCGGGUUGUAAGCACUUUUGGCAGGAAAGAAACGGCACGUGGGAUAAUACCCCGUGCAACUGACGGUACCUACCUGCAGAAUAAGCACCGGCUAACUACGUGCCAGCAGCCGCGGCACAUGUAGGGGUGCAAGCGUUAAUCGGAAUUACUGGGCGUAAAGCAGGCGGUUCGGAAAGAAAGAUGUGAAAUCCCAGAGCUUAACUUUGGAACUGCAUUUUUAACUACCGAGCUAGAGUGUGUCAGAGGGAGGUGGAAUUCCGCGUGUAGCAGUGAAAUGCGUAGAUAUGGAGGAACACCGAUGGCGAAGGCAGCCUCCCGGGAUACAACACUGACGCUCAUGCACGAAAGGGAGCAAACAGGAUUAGAUACCCUGGUAGUCCACGCCCUCAACGAUGUCAACUAGCUGUUGGGGCCUUCGGGCCUUGUAGCGCAGCUAACGGGGUUGACCGCCUGGGGAGUAAUAAUGCAAGAUUAAAACUCAAAGGAAUUGACGGGGACCCGCACAAGCGGUGGAUGAUGUGGAUUAAUUCGGAUGCAACGCGAAAAACUCAUCUUCCACCCUUGACAUGUCUGGAAUCCCGGAAGAGAUCGAGUGCUCGCAAGAGAACCGGAACACAGGUGCUGCAUGGCUGUCAUUACCGGGUCGUGAGAUGUUGGGUUAAGUCCCGCAACGAGCGCGGCAACCUCGGUCAUUAUUGCCAACGAAAGGGCACUCUAUCGACUGCGACAAACCGGAGGAAGGAUGACGUCAAGUCCUCGUCUCUUGCGGUAGGGGUUUGACGUCAUACAAUGGUCGGGACAGAGGUCGCCAACCCGCGAGGGGGGAGCCAAUCCCAGAAACCCGAUCAAACCGGAUCGCAGUCUGCAACUCGGACUGCGUGAAGCCUUCAGAAUCAUAAUCGCGGAUCAGCAUGUCGCGGUGAAUACGUUCCCGGGUCUUGUACACACCGCCCGUCACACCAUGGGAGUGGGUUUUACCAGAAGUAGUUAGCCUGUAACCGUAAGGAGGGCGAUUACCACGGUAGGAUUCAUGACUGGGUGAAGUCGUAACAAGGCGC
rnacentral:rRNA from 1 species